AGGGUUCGAUUCUGGCUCAGGAUGAACGCUGGCGGCGUGCCUAACACAUGCAAGUCGAGCGAUUCUCUUCGGAGAAGAGCGGCGGACGGGUGAGUAACGCGUGGGUAACCUGCCUCAUACACAUGGAUAACAUACCGAAAGGUAUGCUAAUACAGGAUAAUAUAAGAGAUUCACAUGGAUUUCUUAUCAAAGCUCCGGCGGUAUGAGAUGGACCCGCGUCUGAUUAGCUAGUUGGUAAGGUGACGGCUUACCAAGGCGACGAUCGGUAGCCGACCUGAGAGGGUGAUCGGCCACAUUGGAACUGAGACACGGUCCAAACUCUUACGGGAGGCAGCAGUGGGGAAUAUUGCACAAUGGGCGAAAGCCUGAAUGCAGCAACGCCGCGUGAGUGAUGAAGGCCUUCGGGUCGUAAAACUCUGUCCUCAAGGAAGAUAAUGACGGUACUUGGGGAGGAAGCCCCGGCUAACUACGUGCCAGCCGCCGC
rnacentral:rRNA from 1 species